AGCCCACCCAACCAUCACCCACCUCCCGCACCCGAUCCCGACCCAGUUGGCGUCGCCCCAGGAACCCCCCCUACCAACCCACUGCCCCGUCCCUGAACCCUCGCGUCGCCGAGGCCCCCGUCCUGACCUCGCGCGCCGCCGCCGCCCUGACCUCGCGCGCCUCCGCCGCCGCCCCGACAAGCCAAUGCGCCGCCGCCCCAAGAAACCACCAAUUCGGAUUCACCGUCGCCCACCCACACCAGCUCGCCGGUACCACCCCAGACCCCCUAGCCCUCGCCAACAUCUCCACCACCCAGCGCGAACCCUUCACCACCAACUCUGACGUCGUCGUCGCCGCCCACCAUCCAAUGCACCCCUGCUGCAUCUACCGUCCCGCGUGAGCACCGGUGCGCAUGGAUCCGGCAGGAUCCCGACCUGACUGGGCCAGGGUUGAUAUUCGCAGGCACUGGGGUCAUCGCGGACUGCGCCCCAGCCGUCGCCGUGGACUUCUCCGCAUCGCCGGCGGUAGCAGCAAUAGAAACUGGUGCUGGUUGGGACGGCCCGACAUGGAACUCCCACUGUCAGUGCCGUGCCACCAAGAUGAGGAAUCAGGUUCAGACAUUCCCAAACCCCACGCCUAGCGGAGUAUUUUUUACAAGAGAGGAACCAAGUUGCGUACCUGGUCGGGCAUGACCUCCCAGUUGAUACCGCUGAUGUUGAUCCCGACGUAGAGGCAAGCCUUGUAGUGGGCAUUCACGAUGUCGCGCCCGAACACCUUGUCGGCGCCGGCGGUACAGUAGUUUGGCCCCUGCACAAAUGCACACAAUCAAUAUCAUCUGAAAACCUACUACCUCCAGUGAACUGUGGACAAUUUUGAGUUCAAGAACAUAUUUGUUUUAUGUUUUAUAUGUAAGCUUGAACAGAUUUGUUGAGAAUUUUCUUGCCUGAGGGCCAUGGUAGCCACCAAUGGGCCAACGAAGAGAUAAGGAUACGAAGGCUCCCUUGCAGAGAGUUGGCUCUGGUCGUGCUUGAGGCCGCCGUUGCUUAUGGCCGCUGUACACCAAGUGCAAAGACGUUUUAUGAAAAGUUCUAGUACAGCUAUAUGGUGGCCGCCCUGAAGUUCUACUAUGGAUGUAAGCAAAGGUCUACAACGGCUAUACGCCGACUGUCACGCUAGUUUGCAUGACUUGCUGCUGCAGGUUGUAACCUUUCAACCUUUUAGCUUGUUGUUUUGAAGUCUCUAUUGAACGUUCUUCUGAACUUGUGAUAUGAAGCUGCUACUUUUGUGAUCGAUUGGAUAUAUACAGAGGCCUGCUCUCAAUUUCUCUUCUCCCAGGCGUGUGUAGCUGGUGGCUUGUGCGGAAUCAACUCACAUAGUCUUCCAAAUUUCCAAAAGAACCGAAGUUCAGUUUCUAUCAAGUUACAAGUUCAGAGUUUAUUUCUGUAAUAUCUGAAGAAGACUAGCAAAAGAUUAUACUGCUCACUGCACAAAAAGAAAACUUGUACUUCUCUC